rnacentral:lncRNA from 1 species
ACAUAGUUGGCUUCCUGAGGGGAGACUCUGAAGGUCAAUCUUCCUGGAGACAGGAUAGGCCCAGCCAGGUCUAAUCUGCCGAAGGAUAGGGAAAGGUUUUCUGGUGAUUCAGUUGUUACAUCUCAGGAAUCCAGUAUGAAUUCUGGUCUGGUUUCCAGAAGCCUAGCACAUAAGGCUUCUGGAAUGUCCAGAAUGUCCAGUCUCACCAUGAAGAAUGUCCAGUCCCAUCAUAAAGAACACAAGAACCAUGAUCCACCUGAGCCAGCUGGGAUGAAGUAAAAGGUAGGGAGGUGGGCAAGAAGCAGAGGAGAGCAACCAUGAGAACAGAGAGACCAGCAAAGAACCUGCAGAGACCUUGGCCCUGGCCAGGCUGCAGUCCCUCUGGAGUUCCAUUCUCAGAAGGUCCUGGGUACAUUUGGUGCCAGCAGAGGGCAGGUUGUGGACACUCAGCCACAUGGCUCCCUCAGAGCACUGCUAUUCAGCAAGAUGGGACACCCAUUCCUGGUGAGAUUUGUGGAAACCAGAACAAUGUCACUUACAUCAUUUUGGUAUUUUCCAUUUCAUAAUAAAAACAUGUAUUUAACUGCCUAGUAUACCCCAUCUAAUUUGUAAUUUAUUAAACUUC